GGGUAUCGCGGUGCGAGGGGGCGGGGGAAUGUGGAGAGUGAAAGUGGUAGACGGAUUUAAUUGGGUUAAAGGGUUCGUAGGGGGACUGGUAAUGCAGUGGGUAAAUAUAAUAGUUUAACGAGGAAACGGACAUUGAUACUGCAGGUAUUGAGUAAAUUUGAAGUGGCUGGAAUAAGUAGGGUAGCGGUGAAAUGCAUAGAUAUUACUUAGAACACCAAUUGCGAAGGCAGGUCACUAAGAUUUAACUGACGCUGAUGGACGAAAGCGUGGGUAGCGAACAGGAUUAGAUACCCGGUAGUC
rnacentral:rRNA from 1 species